rnacentral:tRNA from 1 species
AAGAAGUUAGUUAAAUUUAUAACAUUAGCAUGUCAAACUAAAAUCAUUAAUAAUUAAUACAUCUUU